GAUGAACGCUGGCGGCGUGCUUAACACAUGCAAGUCGAACGAUGAAGCCCAGCUUGCUGGGUGGAUUAGUGGCGAACGGGUGAGUAACACGUGAGUAACCUGCCCUUAACUCUGGGAUACGCCUGGGAAACUGGGUCUAAUACCGGAUAGGAGCGCCUACCGCAUGGUGGGUGUUGGAAAGAUUUAUCGGUUUUGGAUGGACUCGCGGCCUAUCAGCUUGUUGGUGCGGUAAUGGCUCACCAAGGCGACGACGGGUAGCCGGCCUGAGAGGGUGACCGGCCACACUGGGACUGGGACACGGCCCAGACUCCUACGGGAGGCAGCAGUGGGGAAUAUUGCACAAUGGGCGAAAGCCUGAUGCAGCGACGCCGCGUGAGGGAUGACGGCCUUCGGGUUGUAAACCUCUUUCAGUAGGGAAGAAGCGAAAGUGACGGUACCUGCAGAAGAAGCACCGGCUAACUACGUG
rnacentral:rRNA from 1 species